rnacentral:rRNA from 1 species
UACGUAGGGUGCGAGCGUUAAUCGGAAUUACUGGGCGUAAAGCGUGCGCAGGCGGUUCGUUGUGUCGGUGGUGAAAUCCCCGGGCUUAACCUGGGAAUGGCCAUGGAAACUGGCGAACUGGAGUGCGGCAGAGGGGGGUGGAAUCCCGCGUGUAGCAGUGAAAUGCGCAGAUAUCGGGAGGAACACCAGCGGCGAAGGCGGCACUCUGGGCUGGUACUGACGCUCAGGAGCGAAAGCGUGGGUAGCGAACAGG